rnacentral:rRNA from 1 species
CCUACGGGAGGCAGCAGUGGGGAAUCUUGCGCAAUGGGCGAAAGCCUGACGCAGCAACGCCGCGUGCGGGAAGAAGGCUUUCGGGCUGUAAACCGCUUUCAGCAGGAACGAAAAUGACGGUACCUGCAGAAGAAGGAGCGGCCAACUAUGUGCCAGCAGCCGCGGUGAUACAUAGGCUUCAAGCGUUGUCCGGAUUUAUUGGGCGUAAAGAGUUCGUAGGCGGUCGAGUAAGUCGGGUGUGAAAAUUCUGGGCUCAACCCAGAGACGCCACCCGAUACUGCUUGACUUGAGUUCGAUAGGGGAGUGGGGAAUUCCUAGUGUAGCGGUGAAAUGCGCAGAUAUUAGGAGGAACACCGGUGGCGAAGGCGCCACUCUGGAUCGAUACUGACGCUGAGGAACGAAAGCAUGGGUAGCAAACAGGAUUAGAUACCCUGGUAGUCCAUGCCGUAAACGGUGGGCACUAGGUGUGGGUUUCUAUUAACGAAAUCCGCGCCGUCGCUAACGCAUUAAGUGCCCGCCUGGGGAGUACGGUCGCAAGCUAAAACUCAAAGGAAUUGACGG